rnacentral:RNase_P_RNA from 1 species
AGUCGGUCGGAUGGUUACUCUUGGCCCGCGUGAGCGGUCUAAGAGAGGAAAGUCCGGGCACCGCAGAACAGGAUGCCCCCUAAUGAGGGGAGGUUCGCAUUCGCGAAUCAUGGAAAGUGCAGCAGAAAGUAAACCGCCCCGUUAUUUGCGGGGUAAGGGUGAAAGGGUGGUGUAAGAGACCACCAGGUCGUGAAUAAAUUCAGGAUGCUUGUAAACCCCAUCCGGUGCAAGAUCGAAUAGUCUUCAAGAUGUUGUUCGCAUCGUUAAAGAAGCGGGUAGGUUGCUCGACCAUGAUGGUAACAUUAUGGCUAGAUGAAUGACCAUCCCUUUGGUUUUGAAUCUUAAGGCUAAAGGACAGAACUCGGCUUAUAGACCGACUCAA